rnacentral:tRNA from 1 species
GGUCGCGUGGCCUAAUGGAUAAGGCAUCGCCCUCCUGCAUAAUCUUCGGGGUACGGGCGGGGAUUGUGGGUUCAAGUCCCUUAGUGAUCG